CCUCGCAUCGGUCCUGCAGCCGCCCUUGUCAAACGUGUUCCCGCCUCCUGUCUUCCGGAAAAGUACCCUCCUCCUGCCUUCCGGUCCGGCACCCGACUUCCGCCUUCUGGUCCAGCUGUGGACUGCGCCCCACCCCAGCCCGCGCCCCGCAUGGCUGCGUCCCUGGCCGGACCUGUGGAGCUGGGCUUCGUGGAGUUGGCGCCGGCGUGGCGACUGCGCAGCGAGCAGUUCCCCAGCAAGGUAGGCGGGCGGCCGGCGUGGCUGGGCGCGUCCGGGCUGCCGGGGCCCGGGGCCCUGGCCUGCGCGCUGUGCGGCCGCCCGCUCUCCUUCCUGCUGCAGGUGUACGCGCCGCUGCCCGGCCGCGCCGACGCCUUCCACCGCGGCAUCUUCCUUUUCUGCUGCCGCGAGCCGCCAUGCUGUUCCGGCCUGCGAGUUUUUAGGAAUCAGCUACCCAGGAAAAAUGAUUUUUAUUCAUAUGAGCCACCGUCUGAGAAUCCUCCCCCAGGAACCGAAUCAGUGUGUCUCCAACUUAAGUCUGGUGCUCAUCUAUGCAGGGUUUGUGGCUGUUUAGGCCCCAAAACGUGUUCCAGAUGCCACAAAGUGUAUUACUGCAGCAAGGAGCAUCAGACCCUAGACUGGAGACUGGGACAUAAGCAGGCUUGUGCACAACCAGAUCAUUUGGACCAUGUAAUUCCAGACCACAACUUCCUUUUUCCAGAAUUUGAAAUUGUAAUAGAAACAGAAGAUGAAAUAUUGCCUGAGGUUGUGGAAAAGGAAGAUUACUCAGAGAUUAUAGGGAGUAUGGAUUCUCAGAUAUGGCAGAGGUAUUACCCCCAUCUGGAUUUCUGGUGAAAAUAUUCCUCAAGAAAAGGAUAUUCCAGAUUGCUCCUGUGGUGCCAAGAGAAUAUUUGAGUUCCAGGUCAUGCCUCAGCUCCUAAACUACCUGAAGGCUGACAGACUGGGCAAGAGCAUUGACUGGGGCAUCCUGGCUGUCUUCACCUGUGCUGAGAGCUGCAGUUUGGGUAUUGGCUAUACAGAAGAAUUUGUGUGGAAGCAGGAUGUAACAAAUACACCGUAAGGGCAUCUUAAAGCCUUCAGAUAUGUUAAUAAUCUUUUACACCUUGCAAUUCCAUUUCUGGGACUUUAUCCUAAGGAAAUAUUUAUGCCAAAAAUAGAGGUGCAGAGAUGUUGAGACAUUGCUUACACAGUGUCUACAUAUUAGUGAAACAAAAGUGUCCAGUGACAGAGAAUUAAAUUUUGGUACAUCCACAGUGGAAGGCUACAGAAUCUUAUUUAUACACACAUAUAUUGACAACUGAGAUACCAUUAUAGGUGGUAUUUAUGGUAUGACCCUAUUGUAAAAAUAUUUGUACAUGUAUGUGUGCACAGAAAUAAAUCUGCAAAGAUGUACACUUAGUGCACCGGUUACCUGUAAAUGGUGGGACUAAUGAAAAUGAUCUUUUUACUUACACAGGCAUUUCUAAAGUAAAAAUGGGUUACGUGCCUAAUGAAGUUAAACCAUCUCACUCUGAGAGCAUUUCCCACCCUAAGUUUUUUAAAACACAAAGAACAAUACUUAGGUAAAACCCCAACAAACUUGUCUGAUCAUCCUCUGAUUGUCACAGGCUCUAGUAUGUACUUGAAGCCCGUAACAUCAGAAAAAUACCAAACCUCCUUAGGUCGGUGAGUAUGGUGUACAGGAAACCCAGUAAUUCUGAAGCAACACUAUCACAGCUGGCAGGAUCAGGAACAAGAGUGGCUUUGUAAUCACAAAGCUGGAAUUUAAAGAGGCUCUCUACCUUCAGAACAGAUCUUUGUCAGCCGGUGGCCUUGCUUACAGAGACACUGAAAGGAAAAGAUGAUGGUCUUCACUUUCCAUGUCAGCAUUGUACAGUUUCCUAUCGCGUAUACAACGGUUAUGGUACAUAAACCAGAGUAAGGAUCUGGCCUAGGAGGCAGCAGCCUGAGGAAAGGAAGGCCCUGAAAUCAGUUUUCAAAGGGCUGACCCUUGGCCUAUUAUGUUUAUGAUACACUUAUUUAAGCAAGUGGCCCCUAAGACUGCGCUAAGGUUCCUUCCAUCCCGCAGCAGCUCACGAUUGGCAAUUCCCAGUUUCUCUCAGCACCAGCGAUGCCUGCCCUGAAGACACAUUGCUGUCAGUGCUUGAAUACUGACAGCCAAUUCUGAUAAAUUUCUCAGGCCUAUUUCUUUCAUCUACAUUGGCGCACAUUGCCUCAUAACACAUGCCUGUUAAUUCUGAAAUGCAUUGCCACCGUAAAUCCUCACAUUUUCAUAGGUAACGUCAGCUACUGUAAUUUAGAAAGUCCUGUCCUAUUAGUCCAUAUUAUGUAUGUUUAAGUAUAUAUACAGUUUGUAUUAAUUUUGAGUAUGUGUGUGUAUGUAUAUAUAAGAUACAGUUAUACAUAGCACCAUAUGAGAAACUGUAGUAUGGAGUUUCUCCCAUAGGGAGGUUUGAUACUAGGCUACUUAAGAACUAGAGGAUACUAGUUUCAAAACAGGGGUGGCUAAAUUAAUGAGAAUCACCUGUAACUAUGGUGUCAGUCUGUAGUUACUGGAGUAAGCUGUCAUCAGCAACUGUGACAAGAGUUGGUCAUAGCACUUAGUAGGAAGCACAGUGGUAUAAGGAAACCUGGACUAGUGGGGCCUUCAUAUCUAAAAUUAUGUCUUAUUCAUUAUAGAUGGAAUGUGUAAGUUAUGACUGCUGAGGGCUUUCAAAGCAAACAUGUUAGUCUUCUGUGGUAAAACUGUUAUUUGGGGAGAUCACCAGAUGAUAGGUACCCAGCCAGGCUGUCAUUUAUAUAUAUUCCGGUCAACUUGUGGAGAUGAUCAUAAAAGUUUACAGGGCCUUUCCAGGAACAGGUCUAUUAAGAGGGAGACAGACUGGUCCAAAUCAACAUAAAGAAAAUGUCACAGCACCAGCUUGGCAUCUGUGUUAAAAAACAACUACUAUAUUAAAAAACUAUACAACAUAAAAAACUUUUUAAAUGCAUUAAGCAAGUUGCCUCUAGAAAUGUGAAGACAUUUUAAAACACUGUAAGAUAACAACCAAGUCUCACCUACAUAAUCAUGGCUCCACAGAUGGUGCCAGUCCAUGCAUCCACCAUUUCUCAACACCUAGGAAGUUUUAAGAUCUGCUUGGUUCAGAUACUGUCCAGCCACAGCAGCACUCCUCUGCUGUAGACAGCAGCAUAUUCAGCUUUGCCUUAUUUCAGAUAUCACACACACACAAAAAAGUUAAGUGUUUUUGGCAA